UACUAAACCUAAAUAGAAGAGUAGAAAAGUCCAAAGGUUCAUACGGUGAGAGAACCAGCACCAUGACUAAGUCCGUACCCAUGUGAAAACCAUAGUUUCUAGUCCCUCCUCAUGGGACCGCGUACUACGAUCGUAAGAGACAAAAGGGAGUGGGCUUCAUAGACUAUACACCAACUUGGAAUGUUACGGUGAGAAAGUCAGGUAGUCAACCAACUCUUACGUCUACUCACGUACCAAGAACUCUUACUCCGAGAAAUACUGUAUACAAAGUCCUGAGAGUUCGACUGGUGAGGCUCAACAUUCGCUUUAGACAUGGAAGAAUAAUAAUAAGAGAUGCCUACUUAUACUCGUACUACAGUUCACCUAGAAGUAUUAAGACUUAUAAACAUUGACGUACAAUAAUAUACGAAUUAUUGUGUUCAUAAUUACGUAUGAAAGAUAAGUGUUGGCUUUUUAACCUUUUACUACAUCAAGUAACCGAACGAAAAAGAUAUUACAGACAGGUUUGAUAAGAACAUCACGUCAAAACCAUAAGAAUCUGUACUAGACUUUGAGAUUUACCUAAGAACACGAACUCAAUAAACGAGUCCCGAAAGUAAAUAUACCUGAACAUAAAACCAAAGUUACACUACGUACGAAUAACGGUUACCUGGAGGGUAACGAAUAUAGGAUGGUCAUAUCGGUACGAGGGGCAGUGGAAUAGACAACUUUCACGGAGGGGUACCACAACAAGCAGUUUUCGAAAGAAGGAGAAAGAAGUUUUAAUGUCCUCAACAACGCGUUUUCAUGUACCAUAAAAAGGAAGUUAUACACAUCAAGACAUUAUAUGUUAUCAAGACUGGACUUGAGACGACUGGUUGUUUUAUAUAUGGAGUAAUGAGAUACUAGGUGAUUGUGAAAAAAUCUCAGACUCCAACGAAACCGGAUUACUUCCCAUACGUCUCGUUACGGAGACGGAAUCAAGUUCUCUCGUUCCGUCCGUUGUUUCUCCUCCCAGACCGGCUUCAGUUCUUUGUUCUCUUGAGCUGUGGCUGGAUCUCUUUGAGAUACAUCGUCCGGAAGCGGCCUCUCUACCGGCUUGCUGUUAACAGUUCACGGAGACCACAUGUGCGAAACAACCGAACAAAUAGGAACGUACACCUUUAAACCGAACAGUCAAAACGUAGCUGACACCUUUGGAGGACCACGUGAUAGGUCAACAUCAAGGGAAAGUACAUUAACAGAAGGGGGUUCAUUUACAUAUUGAUACUAGAGUGUAUAACAGAGAUGGGACAAAUACUCCUUUGUUAACCUGAUUAUCAAUAUUGUUAAACCACAACCC
rnacentral:rRNA from 1 species